rnacentral:rRNA from 1 species
AUUGAACGCUGGCGGCAUGCCUUACACAUGCAAGUCGAACGGCAGCACGGGGGCAACCCUGGUGGCGAGUGGCGAACGGGUGAGUAACAUAUCGGAACGUGCCCUGGAGUGGGGGAUAACUAGUCGAAAGAUUAGCUAAUACCGCAUACGAUCUACGGAUGAAAGUGGGGGAUCGCAAGACCUCAUGCUCGUUGAGCGGC